rnacentral:rRNA from 1 species
AACGCUAGCUACAGGCUUAACACAUGCAAGUCGAGGGGCAGCACAGUGUAGCAAUACACGGGUGGCGACCGGCGCACGGGUGCGUAACGCGUAUCCAACCUUCCCGUUACUUUUGGAUAGCCUUCCGAAAGGGAGAUUAAUACAAGAUGGUAUUCAAAUUCCGCAUGUUAUUUGAAUUAAAGAUUUAUCGGUAACGGAUGGGGAUGCGUGACAUUAGAUAGUAGGCGGGGUAACGGCCCACCUAGUCUACGAUGUCUAGGGGUUCUGAGAAGAAGGUCCCCCACACUGGAACUGAGACACGGUCCAGACUCCUACGGGAGGCAGCAGUGAGGAAUAUUGGUCAAUGGUCGGAAGACUGAACCAGCCAAGUAGCGUGAAGGAUGAAGGUUCUAUGGAUUGUAAACUUCUUUUAUACGGGAAUAAAACCUCCCACGUGUGGGAGCUUGUAUGUACCGUAUGAAUAAGCAUCGGCUAACUCCGUGCCAGCAGCCGCGGUAAUACGGAGGAUGCGAGCGUUAUCCGGAUUUAUUGGGUUUAAAGGGAGCGUAGACGGGAGAUUAAGUCAGUUGUGAAAGGCUGCGGCUCAACCGCAGCACUGCAGUUGAUACUGGUUUCCUUGAGUGCGGUUGAGGUGUAUGGAAUUCGUGGUGUAGCGGUGAAAUGCUUAGAUAUCACGAAGAACUCCGAUUG